UGUUCAGCCUCUGCAGUAGUCAAGGAAAUGCAAAUACAGGAAGUAACAAUGAGGUAUCACUUUACAUCCAUCAGAUGGCAAAAAUUCAAGCGUGAUACCUUGUCAUUGGCAGGUAGUCCCAGCUACUUGGGAGGCUGAGGCAGGAGAAUGGCGUGAACCCGGGAGGCGGAGCUUGCAGUGAGCCGAGAUCCCGCCACCGCACUCCAGCCUGGGCGACAGAGCGAGACUCCGUCUCAAAAAAAAAAAAAACAAACAAAAAAAAAAACAAACUGAGGUCAGGAGUUCGAGACCAGCCUGGCCAACAUGGUGAAACCCCGUCUCUACUAAAAAUACAAAAGAAUUAGCUGGGCGUGGUGGCACACACCUGUAAUCUCAGCUACUGAGGAGGCUGAGGCAGGAGAAUCACUUGAACCCGGGAGACGGAGGUUGCAGUGAGCCGAGAUCAUGCCACUGCACUCCAGCCUGGGCAACAGAGUGAGACUCUGUCUCAAAAAAAAAAAAAAAAAGAAGAAGAAUUUUUAAGUUUAUUUUAUUAUUACUUUUAUGGAUAUAUCAUAGUUGUACAUAUUUGGGGGGUUCAUGUGAUAUUAUGAUGUAUGUAUAUAAUGUGUAAUGAUCAAAUCAGGGUAAUUGGGAUAUCCAUCACCUCAAACUUUAUCUUUUCUUUGUAUUGGGAACAUUACAAUUCUUCUAAGCCUCAUUUUUUAACAAAGAAAGAAAAAAUAACAAUUACAAUGAACAUUGUGUGUGUGUGUGUGUGUGUGUGUGUUUGCAUAAUGAGAUGCAUGAAAGGUGGUCACCAAACUGCUAAUGGUGGCUAUUUUAGGGUUGUGGGAUUUCAGGUGUCUUGUUUUCUUCCUUACGAUAUCAUUUACAUUUUCCACAGUGAAUAUGUAUUGUUAAUAAAAUCAGGGGAAAACUAUACUCACCCAGUCAAAUUUACUGAGCCUCUAUUAUGUGUCAUGCACAGGACUAGAUGUUUUAUGUAUUUCAUUUCUUAUCCUCACAGCAACACUGCAGUGAAUGAGGCCAGUGGGGUUCAGAAGCGUUAGGUAAUUUGCUUGAUAUCACACAGAUUAUUAGUAAGUGUGGAAGGGCAAGCUCUAAACCCAGGCUUAACUCCUAGACAUUCUCUUUCCUGCCUUUACUCUGAAUUCUCAUUUAGGGGCUAUGCUGUUCACAGGGCAUUUAUCCUUCAUCUGGCCAACUCAUAUGUCACUUCACUCACCAUGCAGACAAACACCCACCGGGUGCCCCUCACUGUCCCUGAUGGUGGGGUUCAAAAUGAGUGUUACAGAAUCCUUGCCUUCAAGAACUGCAGGUCUCUAUCUGUUAGAUUUUAGUCUGUAAUUGCUGGUGGGGGGCAAGGGCUGUGUGUUACAGAUAUCUGUGUUGACAUCUGUGUUGAUACUUGGCAUAGGUCUCUGUAAAUGUCCCAAUUCAUUGCUUACAACUGAGGAGUUUAAAGCACACACAAAAAAGCCAUGAGCUAUCUUUUCCAGCCUUUUGACUCUCUCUUCACCCAUAAGGUCUUUCUAAUGGGCCACACCUAUUAUGAUAAAAUGUUUAUACAAUAAAGUGGGCUCUGAUGACUUCAAGCUCACCAUGCAUUUAAAAAUGGACACAGGCCAGGUGUGGUGGCUCAUUCUUGUAAUACUAGCACCUUGGGAGGCCAAGACGGAAGGAUCACGAGGUCAGGAGAUCAAGACCGUCCUGGUCAAUAUGGUGAAACCCUGUCUCUACACAAAAAAUUAGCUGGGCGUGGUGGUGCAUGCCUGUAAUCCCAGCUACUCGGGAGGCUGAGGCAGGAGAAUUGCUUGAACCUGGGAGGCGGAGGUUGCAGUGAGCUGAGAUCGCGCCACUGCACUCCAGCCUGGGUGACAGAGCAAGACUUCGUCUUAAAAAAAAAAAAAAAAAAAAAAAAAAGAACACAAAACCCUAUCUCCACAUCUUAACAAAGAACAGA
rnacentral:lncRNA from 1 species